rnacentral:rRNA from 1 species
CCUACGGGUGGCAUCAGUGGGGAAUAUUGGACAAUGGGCGAAAGCCUGAUCCAGCCAUGCCGCGUGUGUGAAGAAGGCCUUCGGGUUGUAAAGCACUUUCAGUGGGGAAGAAAGCCUUGGGGCUAAUACCCUCGAGGAAGGACAUCACCCACAGAAGAAGCACCGGCUAACUCCGUGCCAGCAGCCGCGGUAAUACGGAGGGUGCGAGCGUUAAUCGGAAUUACUGGGCGUAAAGCGCGCGUAGGCGGUCUGAUAAGCCGGUUGUGAAAGCCCCGGGCUCAACCUGGGAACGGCAUCCGGAACUGUCAGGCUAGAGUGCAGGAGAGGAAGGUAGAAUUCCCGGUGUAGCGGUGAAAUGCGUAGAGAUCGGGAGGAAUACCAGUGGCGAAGGCGGCCUUCUGGACUGACACUGACGCUGAGGUGCGAAAGCGUGGGUAGCAAACAGGAUUAGAUACCCGAGUAGUC